AGUACCGGGAAAACAGGAGCGUGUGAUUGGGGUUUACAGUGUUUUCUCUCGCUCUCUCUGUUUCUAGGGAAUUCGGGCUGUGUUUAGCUGCUGGAAUAUCGUAGAAUUGGUUUUCAGAGAAGUUCCUCGACUCCUGAGGCGAAACAUAAAGGGAUGGGAGUGGUGUGGGAAGUGAUCGUGUGGGGAAAAAAAAGUUUCGAGCCCGUUUCGCAUUUGUGGAGACAGAGUUUUUGGUGUGACCACUCUUUUGUGGGAAACCCAAACCAAGGAGAACUCAGGAGAAUUGGCGCUCUUCGGUCCUGGAGGUUCCGCAGCUAACAUCCCGGCUUGACCAACUAUCGAGGCCGCAAAUUAAUAGGGCACCUCCUGGGAGGAAAACGCCCAUCCUGACUUCUCAACUGUGACAGCUAAUAUGAAAGCUGCAUCUUUACUAGUUAGCUACCAUGCGUCAUUAUUUAUCAAAAGAUAUAUGCUGCUUAAACACAAAUACGUUUUAAAAUAUAUUUUAGGCAGUAGGGUUUUGGGUUUUUUUUUUGCAAGUUCUUUUGGUGAGUAAAUUUAGUGAUAAAUGAUUUUUUUUUCUUUUGAGACAGUUUGCUCUGUCGCCCAGGAUGGAGUGCAGUGCAGUGGCGCGAUCCUGCAACCUCCGCCUCUCGAGUUCAAGCGAUUCUCCUGCCUCAGCCUCCCGAGUAGCUGGGAUUACAGACGCGCGCCACCCCACCCAGAUGAUCUUUUUAAAUGCAAAAUGCCAUCGACGCAGAAAAUCAAAGAAUCAGCUUAAGUUCCAGAAAAAAGAAAAACCAACCAAAUGAACAAUAAGACAACAACAACAACAACAAAAAAGGCCUUUUGGGAUUUUGGAUGAUAUUGCAUCAAAUCCAUACAUUAACCUGAGAGACGAGCGACUUCUUCAACAUUGAGCCUUCCAAUCAUGAUUUUCAAUUCAUUUAGGUCUUCUGUAAUGUUUCUUAAUAUAAUUGUAUUUGUUGCUAUGCAGAAGUUUCACUGAUCUUUUAUUAUAUCUCUAUAUAUAUUUGAUAUUUCUGACACUAUUGUAAAUAGUAUCUUUUUAAUAUUUCAUUUUCCUUUUUUGUUGCUUAAAUAUAUAUAAAAUAAGCUAAUUUUCCAAACUAAUUUUUAUAUCCAGCAACCCUGCUAAAAUUUCUUAUCCAAUAAAAAUAUAAAUGUA
rnacentral:lncRNA from 10 species